rnacentral:lncRNA from 1 species
UUAAAUAUUAACUAUUACUAUGGCACUGGUUUUGAGAAAUAUAUAAAUAAACACUAUAUUGACUACACAAAACAAUACUAUCUGGUAACGAUUUAAAAAUAUAUGUAGAAUUGAAAUAUACAAAAACAGUAUCCCAAAGAAUGUGUGUAUGUAGGCACAUGAAUGGAAUUAGAGUCCUGAGGUUCUUGCCUUGUGUAGAAAGUAGUAAAAGUACA